ACGAGAGGUAGGGAGGGACGGUGAGGGGAGGAGGAGGAAAGGGGGAGGAACCACUACUUUAACUUGGGUGCUACGCUCGCUCGGGGUCGGCCCUGAAAAAUGCUAAUGGACCAAUUACAGCAAUUAAACGAUCAGUGACUCGUUGUGCGGUAGUUAAGCUGAAGUUGGGCGGACAGGGGAGGGCAAGAGGCUGGUGGGUCAGUGUUGUGCUUGCUGGCAGGGAUGGUGCUGGCGGCUUCUGCAUCAACCCAACAGUUUGUGAACACGAAAACAAACAAGUUUCAGCACAGACUAAACCGUGCAGAACUUCAGCCACACCUCCUAGGGAUACCUUCUCGCCUCCAAGAAUAGGGCUUGAAAGUUCACGCCGCCAAGUGCACCCACUUUGUGAACGAAGCGUCUGUCUUCAGGACGGUCUCCGUGACAGGAUGAAAACUCCGUCCUCUCAUCGACAACAUGCAGUACACGAGGCCUCAUUGACAACUGGCUGGUAUCUGCGGCCGUUCCUGUGGAAUGGGAGGUGAGGAAAGCAACGCUAAGAUGUAAACAUUGUUCUAUGUUAUUACCAUUAAAAAACAACCUGGGUUUAAAACAGCCACUUGAAUAUGUUUACCUAUCAGCUUCAUGACAUGUAGCGGGUCCUGCGUACGAGUUUGUGGUUUCCGGGAUCACGGCGAGCACUGGUUUGGCAGCGAGGUGGUGGUGGGCGAGGCGGUGGUCGGGGACGUUAGGGACGAAAGACACCGUAUGAUGGU